rnacentral:rRNA from 1 species
GGGGAGCUGGGGCGGGUGGCGGAGAUCGUGAUGGUGCUGGCGGCGGCCGGGGAGGCGCGGGGCGGCAGGGCGCCCACGGCGGCGGAGCGGGCGCUCGUGGCGGAGGCGCGGGGGCGGCUCGCAGCGUCGGUGGCGGUCGUGGAGGUGCGGCCCAAGGAGCUGUACCCGAGAGAGGCCGUGCGCGCGCUCGUCGAGGACCUCGGGCUCGGCCGCGCCAGGGAUCCCGCCGCCAUGGGCUACCGCCCCUGCAGGGCCUCGAUCGCCGAGAGGAUCCUUCUUACCAAGCGCAAGAUGGAACAAGUCAAGGAAUCUCUAGUACGUCCAACCACUAAUGUUCCUCAGACAACACCCUCAAGUGCAACCGCUAUAUUCCAGGAUGGAGCUUCCAAGUCCACCGCUGAAUUAACCAGGAACCUGUCAGCUGCUGGGUCAUUCCCUGCCUCAACCCCAACCCCAGUAACUAUGUCUUCUUCUAUCUUGAAGCAAUCCCGACCAAAUGAAACACCAGCAGGAGUAUCUUCUUCCCAAUCAGCUAACCUUCCUUCAAUUGUUUCUCUGCCACCGGUUGGUUCUGCAAAUAUUGAAGUGGAAAAAGCUGUUAAUUGUCCUAAUUUCAGACAAAGUGGAGCAACUAUUGGCCAGACAAAUAAAUCAGCUCAUUUUACUGCUACUAGGUCCAGCCAAAGUAGAGUCCAGAGUUCUACUGCAGGGAAAUCUCAUGAAAAGAAGGCACCUUCGGCUCAACCUGUCAACAGGAACAUUGCUAUAGGAGAUCAUGUUCCACCGGGAGCAGCAGCAUUUUUUCAACAGGAACCCUGCUUCUCCAAUCACAAUACGAUAGUGAAAAAUGUUCAACUGGUUCUGCACCAACCUGCCAACCAUCCUAGCUGGACGGUACCAUCAACUGAGUAUAUGCAUGCUCGGCUGGACUGUCAAAUAUGUAAAACAUUUAUCACUGAUGUGGAGAGUUUGCUCGUUUGUGAUGCUUGCGAGAGGGGUGUACACUUAAAAUGUCUAAAGCAGGAUGGGAAUGAAGGCCUGUCAAUUGUAGAUUGGUAUUGUCCAACCUGUGUAACGUAUAGUAAGGGCAAACCUCUGCCUCCAAAAUAUGGCAAGGUUACAAGAACAAUUGUUACAUCAAAGGCUAGAGGUGUAACUUCGCAGAGAGCACCAGGAAACCCACGCACAAAAGAUAGUGAAGAAGUGGCAGGAAAUGGAAGUUUCAUCAAGCAUAACUCCAGUGAACCUGGUAGGUCUGUACGUAACAGUGACAUGUUGGCCUUAGACACUGCUAGUUCAAAAACACAAUCGGCCUCUGCUUAUGUAGCCGCUGAUAUUGGAAUAGGGUGUCCUCAGGAUGAUGAAACAACAGAAGUUAAUGCCAUGUCAGAACAUAACAAUGUGUAUCUGGUGAAAUCAAACAUGGACUUAUGUGCUAAGCACGAAGUUAUGGCAGGUCCAAAGAGUGAAGCUUUAGGUUACAGCUCAGAUCUUGGUGAUGUGGAUUGGGUUGGCGAUGCCCUGAAAGUUGUGGGCAACAUAACUUAUUAUAACUCCUGUAUUGUUGAUGGUAUAACAUACAAUCUCCAAGAUCAUAUUUUGAUUGGUUCCAAAGAUGGCAAGUCUGCUCCAUCCAAGCUGCAGUCACUGUGGGAAGAGCAUGACUCCCAAUCUAAGCUGGCUAUGGUUAAUACAUAUUUCUUUGCUUCGGACAUUCCAGAAUCGGCUACCAAACCAUGUUCUCCUGAAGAGAAUGAGGUAUAUGCUUCAAAUGAUCAAAGAACAGUAAUGGUUUCUUCAAUUUGUGGCUCAUGUGAUGUGUUGCAUGUUGACAAGUUUAGAGAAGAGACUAAUAGAAGAAAUCAGGUGGUCAGUUCAGAUAGUAAGCUACAUCCAAUUUUCUUUGGCAGGUGGAAGUAUGAUGAAUGCACAGGCAAUUUUGUUAGUGUAGAUAGUUCGAUGGGUUUCUGA